AAUAAAGUUUUACAUUCUAAAUUUGCUCCUUACGAGUUUUCAUCUUUUGAAAACGAUUUAUUACAUCUUCAUUAGUAACAUUUGCAAGUGCCUCCUUUUCUAUAGCUGAAAUAAGACAAUCACUUAAGAAGCCAUCACCAAUUCGGUUGCGCAAAUCUGACUUCACAAGUUUCAUGGUAGAAAAGCACCUCUCCACUGUUGCAGUUGCAACCGGCAAAACCAAUGCAAGCUUUAAUAAUCGAUACACCAAA
rnacentral:lncRNA from 1 species